ACUCAUUCUCCGUCCUCUCUUUUUAU
rnacentral:sRNA from 1 species